GAGAUUGUAAUAGUUUUAUUUAAAAACACCUCACCUAGGCAAAAAAUAAUAUACAUUAAUAUACAUUAUUUUUUGCCUAGGUGAGGUGUUUUUAAAUAAAACUAUUACAAUCUC